UUCAACCAUUAUUCUGUUUUUCGUAUAGGUGCGGGAAUCGGCCCGCAUGUCUCUACCCGGUCGCCGGAACGAUCGGACUACGGAAAACGACUGCCCGAAG
rnacentral:ncRNA from 2 species